rnacentral:rRNA from 1 species
UAGGGAAUUUUGGACAAUGGGCGAAAGCCUGAUCCAGCAACGCCGCGUGCGCGAUGAAGGCCUUCGGGUUGUAAAGCGCUUUUAGAGGAGAUGAGAAAGGACAGUAUCCUCUGAAUAAGCCUCGGCGAACUACGUGCCAGCAGCCGCGGUAAAACGUAGGAGGCAAGCGUUAUCCGGAUUUAUUGGGCGUAAAGCGUGUGCAGGCGGUUUGGUAAGUUGGAUGUGAAAGCUCCUGGCUUAACUGGGAGACGUCGUUCAGAACCGCCAGACUAGAGAAUGGGAGAGGGAGGUGGAAUUCUGGGUGUAGUGGUGAAAUGCGUAGAUAUCCAGAGGAACACCAGUGGCGAAAGCGGCCUCCUAGACCAUUUCUGACGCUAAGACACGAAAGCUAGGGUAGCAAACGG